rnacentral:lncRNA from 1 species
AUGGAAAGCAGAGAAGAGCCAACAUCUGUUUGUGCUGAAGCUAAGCAGCGUUUUCUGCAGACAUCAGCCAAGACGCAGCAGCAAUGCCAUUGGUGGGAAGACGGAGUUAUUUGGGGAAUGCUGGACUCCGCACCAUGCGAACGGCAGGGGAGGAGAGAGAGACCCGCGAGCGGAGCGGAGGCAAGGGCAGCCCCAGGGCAGGUGAGAGGCGGGAGCGCGGGCUCCGGGCCAGGGAAGAUGCCCGUGGGACGGAGGCGCUGGAGCCGUGCGUCAUCCCAGGACUCCCACGUGCAGCAGCGUCCGGCCGCGGCAGCCCCUCUGCAUCUGCUCCGAGCAGCAGGGCUUGAGCUGUAUAACCAAAUAAGCAGCGUCUCGCACCGUUUUCUCCCCCCGGGAGCAUCCUGCCCUCCAUGCUAACGCGGGGGAUGGGCAGGCAGCGGGCCGGAGGUGGCGGCAGCCACCGGAGCAAGGCUGGACGCCGAAGGGAAAGUGAGGUAUCGCAGGGUCUAAGACUUGCACCCAGGGUCCCCUCCAGCCCCUGCGAAGCGCAUUAACAGUGUUUGCUGGCUGAAGCAUCUCAGGCAUCUGCUCUUUAGAGAGUGGGUUUAAUCUGCUAUUUGCCAGUGGCAGGAAGAAAUAUUUGCAUUACGUGCACAGCAGUAGGAGAAAACCUCAACCAAGAUUUUGGGCUGGGAAUUUAUAAGGUCUCCGGUUACCACCUUCACUUGGUCCCAAACCCUAGAGCUGAAGCGGGAAUCAGCAGCUCCCUGGUUACGUCUGGAAGGAGCAUGUUGGAGACCAAAGGAAAGACCCAGCUCGGGGGAAACCCCACGGGCACAGGGAGCUCCUGCUCCUCCUCACCUGAGCAGGGCCAGCGCGAGGCGACAYGCCAGUUUGGGCAAAGCCUGAGGGGGGGACCUGAACCAGCCGCGGUGCAGGAAGCACCUGAGAUUGGAGCGCAAUGUGGCCAAGGGACCAUGAACGGGGACGCAGCGAGCCGCCGCGGCUUGGGAGAGCCCCGAGCACAUGCGGGCACACGUCCGAGGGACCCUGCGGGCUUACCCACAUCACGGACAAGAAAACCUGAUGAAAACAGACCUGUGGAAGAGGAACCCGAUCGCGAGGGACCUCCUGCUUCCCACUGAUGCCGGAGAAGGCAACAACCGGGUUGGAAGGGGCUGAGCGGGGCUGGCGAGCUCUCGGCGUCCUCCCAGCCGAGUGUGCGGGCAAGCUCAGGGCCACGCACGAGGUGGCGUGCCCAGCGGUGGCCUGGGACAGGACCAGGCUGUCCUCGGGGUCCUCGGGCAGGAGCCAGGUUCUCUCUGCCCUGGUGGCCUCAAGCUGGAGCCCCAAAGCGAUUCCCCGAGCCGCCAAGCCGCACGCCUCUGCCGGCACGGCCGCCCCUCUUGCACGUCCC